rnacentral:lncRNA from 1 species
CAACUUAUACCUUAUAUGUUAUAAUAUUAACAGGCCAGUGGGAACGAAGACCAUUCCCCACCUGUUGUUAAACGGUAGAGAUCCAGGGGUAACAGAUAUUGCUAUGAGAGCUGCAGGAACAAUAGCUCUUAAGCCCACCUACUAGGGCACUAAGACCUCUUUUUGCAUCUUUUAUUCCAUUAGAUUGACUUGUUCCUCCCUAGAUCACAGACGCCAGUAUUUGAUUUUUGUGCCAUAGUAUACCAUGGCCAAGCGCUGCAUUCUAAAUCUCUUACUGAAUGAAUUGGUCUUAUUCUAGUAUUUGUUUAAAUCAGCUCUUUGUUUUAAGGUACAUCAAAAAAAUGCAACUAUUUGUUUCACAUGCAAAUAUGUCAAAUAUUUAUUUCUAACCAUUCAAAAUGCACACCGAAUCAUGAGCAAUUAAAUUAGCAAACUCCUUUUGCAGGUCUCUGAAGUGCCCCUCCUUCACCCUACUUGCCUUGGCUCAGGAUUUCCUACAAUGUCACCUGAAACGCACCAGAGCUCUGGAGACAGGCUGCCCAGCUUUCAAUCUUAGCCCUUUAUCCACUGUGUGAUCUUGGAUGCUGAGCAUCAUAGACACCUUAGAAAAAGAACAGGCUAGGAAACUGACUUGGUUUUCUUAAAGGAAUUGUGUGCUGAUCAGCCAGUAUUCAGACCUGAUUAAAGCAUCUAUACUUUCAUUAUGCAAUACGAUACCCACUAACCACAUGUGACUCUUUAAAUUUAAAUUAGUUAAAAUUAAACAAAAUUUAAAAAUCAGCUUAGUUCCACUAACCACAUUUCAAGUGCUCAACAACCACAUGCAGUAGUGGUACCAUAUUGGACAGCACAGAUCAUAGAACAUUUCCAUCAUCACUAAAGGAUUUGCCGGCAGCACUGACCUAGAAAAUGCCUUCCACAUAGAAGAUGCUCUACAAUUAUUAACUGAGUGAUCAAAUUUUACCCUAUUUUUUUUUAAAGCUGAGAAGUUAAAAGAAAUCAAGAAUUUAUUUUUCAGGAGAAAAGAAACCAUCAAUAAUUG